rnacentral:rRNA from 1 species
GGUUUACCUGUGUGACUGCGUACCUUUUGUAUAAUGGGUCAGCGACUUAUAUUCUGUAGCAAGGUUAACCGAAUAGGGGAGCCGGAGGGAAACCGAGUCUUAAUUGGGCGUUAAGUUGCAGGGUAUAGACCCGAAACCCGGUGAUCUAGCCAUGGGCAGGUUGAAGGUUGGGUAACACUAACUGGAGGACCGAACCGACUAAUGUUGAAAAAUUAGCGGAUGACCUGUGGCUGGGGGUGAAAGGCCAAUCAAACCGGGAGAUAGCUGGUUCUCCCCGAAAGCUAUUUAGGUAGCGCCUCGUGAAUUCAUCUCCGGGGGUAGAGCACUGUUUCGGCUAGGGGGCCAUCCCGGCUUACCAACCCGAUGCAAACUGCGAAUACCGGAGAAUGUUAUCACGGGAGACACACGGCGGGUGCUAACGUCCGUCGUGAAGAGGGAAACAACCCAGACCGCCAGCUAAGGUCCCAAAGUCAUGGUUAAGUGGGAAACGAUGUGGGAAGGCCCAGACAGCCAGGAUGUUGGCUUAGAAGCAGCCAUCAUUUAAAGAAAGCGUAAUAGCUCACUGGUCGAGUCGGCCUGCGCGGAAGAUGUAACGGGGCUAAACCAUGCACCGAAGCUGCGGCAGCGACACUGUGUGUUGUUGGGUAGGGGAGCGUUCUGUAAGCCUGUGAAGGUGGCCUGUGAGGGUUGCUGGAGGUAUCAGAAGUGCGAAUGCUGACAUAAGUAACGAUAAAGCGGGUGAAAAGCCCGCUCGCCGGAAGACCAAGGGUUCCUGUCCAACGUUAAUCGGGGCAGGGUGAGUCGACCCCUAAGGCGAGGCCGAAAGGCGUAGUCGAUGGGAAACGGGUUAAUAUUCCCGUACUUGGUGUUACUGCGAAGGGGGGACGGAGAAGGCUAUGUUGGCCGGGCGACGGUUGUCCCGGUUUAAGCGUGUAGGUGUGUGUUCCAGGUAAAUCCGGUUCACUUUAACACUGAGGCGUGACGACGAGGCACUACGGUGCUGAAGCAACAAAUGCCCUGCUUCCAGGAAAAGCCUCUAAGCAUCAGGUAACAUCAAAUCGUACCCCAAACCGACACAGGUGGUCAGGUAGAGAAUACCAAGGCGCUUGAGAGAACUCGGGUGAAGGAACUAGGCAAAAUGGUGCCGUAACUUCGGGAGAAGGCACGCUGACACGUAGGUGAAGUGAUUUACUCAUGGAGCUGAAGUCAGUCGAAGAUACCAGCUGGCUGCAACUGUUUAUUAAAAACACAGCACUGUGCAAACACGAAAGUGGACGUAUACGGUGUGACGCCUGCCCGGUGCCGGAAGGUUAAUUGAUGGGGUCAGCGCAAGCGAAGCUCCUGAUCGAAGCCCCGGUAAACGGCGGCCGUAACUAUAACGGUCCUAAGGUAGCGAAAUUCCUUGUCGGGUAAGUUCCGACCUGCACGAAUGGCGUAAUGAUGGCCAGGCUGUCUCCACCCGAGACUCAGUGAAAUUGAACUCGCUGUGAAGAUGCAGUGUACCCGCGGCAAGACGGAAAGACCCCGUGAACCUUUACUAUAGCUUGACACUGAACAUUGAGCCUUGAUGUGUAG